ACGAACCUCUAGAAUUAACUAUUAUAUGGACAUGAUGAAUAGUUGCUCUACCGUAAUUCCUUCCAAGUACCUAGUUUUCAAACUUGUACUCACUUGAGUUUUAGGCACAACUGUUAGGACUUAAGAUUUGCUCUGAGCCUAAAACUUAUGUGUAGAAAAUGCUUGAUCUAAGUCUAGGUAGUUGACAGAUAUGAUAUGGGAAGGUUUUGAGCUGCUGUCAAUCUUGCUCCUAGAGAUGCUAGAAUUCUAGAGAAUUUUAUUUUGAAAAUCUUAAAUUGCUACAUGAUGAGUUCCUUUAUGACGAGAGUUUUAAAAUUCCUACCACAGCUAAAUACUCAUGCUUACUAGAUUAGGAAACCUCCACUUAUAUUUCAACCUAUAAGCAUUGAGAUUAGUUAAGCUGUGUAGACCCUAUGGAACUAGUCAUGUAGUUAAAGUCAAUAUUAUGUGCUCUCCAUCUAUUGAACUUAGCUACUUCUGUCCUCAGAAGUAUGCAACCACUUUCAUCCACCACAUUCACUAUGUGCUACUUCUAUUCCUAGAAGUACCACCCACAUAUACGCACUACACUCUAUGUUGUUUCUAUCCUAGAGACACGCACCUAUGCUGCUCCUACUUUAGGAGUACGCAUUACUUCAUUCACCCACACACAUUCCACAUCCACUUAGAAAAUAUUCUACCCCUACACUGGGAGAAGACACCUAAAAAUAUUCAAUGUCUUAUUCUACUUAACCAAUAAAGCCCCAGUUUCCCCAGUUGAUACUCCCUACGGUUAUCAUUUAAUUAAAAGAUAUGGCUGAUCUCUAAAAAAAGAAAAAAAAAAGAGAAAAAAGAAAAAAAAAUAAAGAAAGAGGACAAAAGUUCCAAUGAAAAAGAAAAGAAAGACAGCCAAAUCCUUGUUCUCGGAUUAGGGAAGUAUGUUAUCCCCAAGGAGCAAAUAUAGAAUUAGAUAUUCACAAUCAGUUAUCACCCCUCAUUACCACUUUCAUUCUUAUCAUUCACUUCAUUCACUACACUCACAUGCACAUAUGACUUGAUUGUAUAAUUAGUUUCUCUAGAUCCAUGGUUUAACUAUGCAAUAUAUGCAAGUAGGUUUGAACUGUCUUUCCCACCUAUGAACUCCACAUAAGCCAAUUAGAGGUAGGGUAAGGGUUACCUAUUUUAUACCAUCAACUAUUGCUCAAUAUAAUACGAUAUCAUCCAUAAAGCAUAGUUGUAGGGUUUGAUUCUAACGAGUUCCACGAGUUUUGGUGUUCUCACUUGUUUUGUGGGAAUUUGCAAUUUUCCAUCAAAUAAAACUACGUCAGAUGAUAAUUUGGACUACACCUUUGUGGCAUAUCAUAUGCUAUAUUUGGAGUCCGGAGUGAAAAGAUAUUAAUUUUACAAAUAAAAGAGAAUUAUCACUAAUGGGCCCCACACCCAAGCAAGGCACAUCACGUGAGAAGAGGCUCAUAUGGCAUGAUAGAGGCCCAUGAGAGGCGCCCCAAGCUGCUCCGUUGAGUGGGCUCAUAUGAUGGGUGUUUUGAAGGCUCAAGUUGAUGUAUAAUAGCGCAACAGAGCAAACGGUGGAAGAAUUAGUCCCACAUCGCCUGUCUAGAAGAGGUUGGAGGCUUUUCUAGGCUAUAAAUAAAGAGGCAGACACGCUCCCUAUGGCACCACAUUAUGGAGAUGUAGAGUUGUCCCUCGAAUGGAUAACCUCUCACCUCUAGAGAAUUAAGAUUAAACUUUCCAAUGUAGUAGAUUUGUUCUAGUUGAGAGUUAGGGAGAGCGGCGCUACGCCUGGGUUCUGGAGGAGUCUUGAGUCAUCAGAGUUCUGGUAUAUCUUUGUAUCUUUUCUUGUAAGGCUUAUGCUUUAAUAUAUUUAAUCUUCUCUUUUUACUUUUAUGCAUUAAUUUGAUUGGUUAGUAUAGUUAUACUUUAGCAUGGGAUCUCCGCUCGCAUCGGGUGCUCUAGUUAUUAAUUAUGAUUAGAGUAGUAAUUUGUAUUAGAGACAUGGUGUCUAGACUAUAGGUUACCUGAGAUUGCACCCAGUUCUACAGAUUGUUGUGGUAGCCCCAGGGGUGACAGCCUUGACGGCCGACGUAUUCCACCACGUUUGGAUUGGUGUUGUAGGACC
rnacentral:lncRNA from 1 species